rnacentral:lncRNA from 12 species
UGAAAGUCUGUUCAAAUUGAUGCAUUUUGCACAAAGUUCUAUGGUACUGGAGAGAAAAAAGCCUCAGAAAAUCAGCUAUGCCUUUUGUCAAGUGCUCGUAUUGGAAAGAACUGUACAUGGAGAGGAAACUGAAGCUGCACACAUUAAUAACUGUAAGUUCAUUUCGAGUUAAUUAAGCUUUAAAUUCAUGUUCUACUGUGUAGCAGAUGCUACUCCCCCCAAACCAGGCCCCUGGCAUCUUAUCUCUUAAGGAGAUAACUCGAAUUCCCCACUGCCUGCAUCAUUUUCAGGAAUCGAAACUGUUUUUAUUGGCUGUUAAACUAGGAUAGUAAUUGGUUCAUUUUCUCACCUAAGAUUUUAAGGUAAUUGGUUCGUUUGUAAUGUAUAGGCUUUUAUUGGUUAGAUUUUG